AAUCCUACGGGGGGCAGCAGUGAGGAAUAUUGGUCAAUGGCCGGAAGGCUGAACCAGCCAAGCCGCGUGAAGGACGAAGGUGCCAAGCAUUGUAAACUUCUUUUGUCAAGGGACAAAAUCAGGCUCGAGAGCCUGACCGAGGGUACUUGAAGAAAAAGCAUCGGCUAACUCCGUGCCAGCAGCCGCGGUAAUACGGAGGAUCCGAGCGUUAUCCGGAUUUAUUGGGUUUAAAGGGAGCGUAGGUGGAUUGUUAAGUCAGUUGUGCAUGUUUGCGGCUCACCCGUAAAAUUCCAGUUGAAACUGGC
rnacentral:rRNA from 1 species